rnacentral:sRNA from 1 species
CUGGUCGAACCGCUGGCAACUUGUCACGUGACUUAUGGUAAACGCUGAUUUCCAAAGAACUCUGUUCACCUUUCUAAUUGGUCAGUUCUUGGCUUUGGAAAUAUAUGAGGUAAAUGUGUUGGGUGCACAUGAUUUCUGAUUAGUUUUGCUGAAGGGACAGAGAUCAGUAUUGUUCUGGAGGAUUAGUGUUCAUCCAUGACGUAACACUCCUUCCCUGUACCCAUAAGUAUCCGCGGAUUCGUGAUUUACCAAAACCCACCAGACUGGUAUAUAAGCAGUCCCUCUUGUUCAGGCUCCAUCACACCUGGGGAGAAUGGGUCUUCUGCAGCCAGCUGUUGUGUUGCUUCUGUUGUUGAUUGUCUUGUGUAUAGCGGGACAUGCAGUGGAUAAACACAAUGGGAGAGUUAUUGCGAAAAGAGAAGCCAGAAUCGCCUUGAACGAACUAAGAAAGAAGCACAUAUCACACGUUUUGAAGAGGUCAGCUGAUUCUGAAAUCGACGAAGAAGAGGCAAAUAUUGAUCUUACUAUGAUAGAACGGGAGUUAGAGCGAUUUGAAGAUACACUGCACAGCACUGAAGAAACUGGAGCCAAUCAACAUGAGGCUAAGGGCGGGGAAAAACUCAUCCAGGAAGCGCUGAAGGGUGAUGUUGAUCCCGACUCUGACGUGGUCAAUCUGUUAGAGAGCAUGUAUGUGGACGAAGGUUCCAGACACAACCAGCACCCGAAAGGUAUUGAAAACAUCGCCGCAAAGAAAGGAAAGGUAUUUGGUGACACCCACGACGCUCAUCGCUUAACGCAACAUCAGAUUAAGGAGCUAAAUCAGAAUGGUGGAAGAAAGAAGAAUUUCCUGAAAUCAGCCACUUUCUGGACAGAUCUCACCAUCCCUUACACCAUCCACAGCAGCUUUUCUGGCUUUACUACAUCACCGGCAACACAGAAUCCCUCAACUCUCUAUCCAGUGACAUCUUUCCAAACAACUCUAUAUCCAGUAACAUCAUUCCCCACAACACAGACCUCGUCACCACCUGUUGUAGACCAGGAUCUUCAUUGUACUUUUGAAACUGGAACAUCAUGCUUCCUGAAUAACAGCAACGAUGAUUUUGAUUGGCAGACUGGACAAGUAUAA